CCUACGGGGGGCUGCAGUGAGGAAUAUUGGUCAAUGGACGAGAGUCUGAACCAGCCAAGUAGCGUGAAGGAUGACUGCCCUAUGGGUUGUAAACUUCUUUUAUAAAGGAAUAAAACGAGGCACGUGUGCCUUUUUGCAUGUACUUUAUGAAUAAGGAUCGGCUAACUCCGUGCCAGCAGCCGCGGUAAUAAGGAGGAUCCGAGCGUUAUCCGGAUUUAUUGGGUUUAAAGGGAGCGUAGAUGGGUUGUUAAGUCAGUUGUGAAAGUUUGCGGCUCAACCGUACAAUUGCAAUUGAUACUGGCAGUCUUGAGUACAGUUGAGGUAGGCGGAAUUCGUGGUGUAGCGGUGAAAUGCUUAGAUAUCACGAAGAACCCCGAUUGCGAAGGCAGCUUACUAAACUUUGACUGACAUUGAUGCUCGAAAGUGUGGGGAUCAAACAGGAUUAGAUACCCGGGUAGUC
rnacentral:rRNA from 1 species